CCAAACCUUUGUCAUUUUUGCUUCACAAGAUAAGACGCUAGUCAAUUUCCAGGCUACCCAAGUCUUUGAUCAAACAAAAGGAACAGUACUGUAACAGUAAUGCUCAAAGGUGCAAUUCAGGUACAUGACCUUUAUUCAAAAAAGAAAAAAAAAAGAGGAAUUAAACAUGAAACGAUGCUUCUUUUCAAUUCUACGUCAC
rnacentral:lncRNA from 1 species